rnacentral:rRNA from 1 species
UCAACUGCGACCCCAGGUCA